UUUAGGUGUCCCUGUGAUUUCAUCUCCAGCCAAUCGUUUCAGUUCUCCAGCCCCCUUCCUGCCAAAGUACCUAGGCUACUGAAAUAAAACUGGCGUCUGGGAAACCCGGAGGCCAGAGCAACUGGUCAGGCCCAGGCACUGGGGAAGGGCCACAUGACCACACAGUGAAAAGGUGGCUGCCUACAAGCUGAGAGAUGAGGCCUCGGAAUGAAACCUGCCUGGCUAGUGUUUUGAUCUUGGAUUUUCCUGCCUCCAGAACAGAAAAUAAAUUUCUGUUGUUUAAGUCCUGGUCUACGGAAUUUUGCUAUGGGGAAGCCUGUGGUGGGAAUUGGGAUUGGAAAGAAGAGUACAGCCAAAGGAAAAUGGGAGAUGAGAAAGCAUAGGUAAGUAUGCUUUAUUUUGGAGACAUAAUUCAUGUAACAUUUCACCCAUUUAAAGUAUAGAGUUCAGUAGAUUUUAACAUAUUCAAAGAGUUGUGCGACCAUCACCACAAUUGAUUUGGGAACAUUUCAUCAUUCCAAAAGGAAAUCUACCUAUUAGCAGUCAUUCUCUAAUCCCUCUCACCCCCAAUUCCUGGCAACCAUUAAUCUACUUUCUGUCUCUAUAGAUUGAUCUAUUGUAGACAUUUUACACGCAUGGAAUCAUACUGUAUGUGGCAUUUUAUGUCAGGCUUCUUUCACUUG
rnacentral:lncRNA from 1 species